rnacentral:rRNA from 1 species
UUGGAGGGCAAGUCUGGUGCCAGCAGCCGCGGUAAUUCCAGCUCCAAUAGCGUAUAUUAAAGUUGCUGCAGUUAAAAAGCUCGUAGUUGAAUUUCGGGACUAAUAUAUCGGUCGUGCCUCGGUACGUACUGGUAUUUUUGGUUUCUCCCUUCUGACGAACCUUGAUGUCAUUAAUUUGGUGUCUUGGGGAAUCAGGACUGUUACUUUGAAAAAAUUAGAGUGUUUAAAGCAGGC